AUAUGGAUUCAGAAUGCAGGU
rnacentral:miRNA from 1 species